GUAGGUGGCAAGCGUUGUCCGGAAUUAUUGGGCGUAAAGCGCGCGCAGGCGGUCCUUUAAGUCUGAUGUGAAAGCCCACGGCUCAACCGUGGAGGGUCAUUGGAAACUGGGGGACUUGAGUGCAGAAGAGGAGAGUGGAAUUCCACGUGUAGCGGUGAAAUGCGUAGAGAUGUGGAGGAACACCAGUGGCGAAGGCGACUCUCUGGUCUGUAACUGACGCUGAGGCGCGAAAGCGUGGGGGGGAGCGAACAGGAUUAGCUACCCUGGUAGUCCACGCCGUAAACGAUGAGUGCUAAGUGUUAGAGGGUUUCCCGCCCUUUAGUGCUGCAGCUAACGCAUUAAGCACUCCGCCUGGGGAGUACGGUCGCAAGACUG
rnacentral:rRNA from 1 species